rnacentral:rRNA from 1 species
CGCCUACGGGGGGCAGCAGUGAGGAAUAUUGGUCAAUGGGCGGGAGCCUGAACCAGCCAAGUCGCGUGAAGGAAGAAGGUACUUAGUAUUGUAAACCUCUUUUGUCGGGGAGCAAAGAGAGUCACGUGUGGCUCAUUGAGAGUACCCGAAGAAAAAGCAUCGGCUAACUCCGUGCCAGCAGCCGCGGUAAUACGGAGGAUGCGAGCGUUAUCCGGAUUUAUUGGGUUUAAAGGGUGCGCAGGCGGAAUGUCAAGUCAGCGGUAAAAUUUCGGGGCUCAACCCCGUCGUGCCGUUGAAACUGGCGU